AACCUCCGCAAUGUGAGAAAUCGCGACGGGGGGAUCCCAAGUGCCAUUCUUAACGGGAUGGCUUUUCAUUAGUGUAAAGAGCUUUUGGAAUAAGGGCUGGGCAAGACCGGUGCCAGCCGCCGCGGUAACACCGGCAGCUCUAGUGGUAGCAGUUUUUAUUGGGCCUAAAGCGUCCGUAGCCGGUUUAAUAAGUCUCUGGUGAAAUCCUGUAGCUUAACUGUGGGAAUUGCUGGAGAUACUAUUAGACUUGAGACCGGGAGAGGUUAGAGGUACUCCCAGGGUAGAGGUGAAAUUCUGUAAUCCUGGGAGGACCGCCUGUUGCGAAGGCGUCUAACUGGAACGGUUCUGACGGUGAGGGACGAAAGUUAGGGGCGCGAACCGGAUUAGAUACCCGGGUAGUCCUAACUGUAAACGAUGCGGACUUGGUGUUGGGGUGGCUUUGAGCUGCUCCAGUGCCGAAGGGAAGCUGUUAAGUCCGCCGCCUGGGAAGUACGGUCGCAAGACUGAAACUUAAGGAAUU
rnacentral:rRNA from 1 species